rnacentral:rRNA from 1 species
AGAUACGCGCAGAACCUUACCAACACUUGACAUGUUCGUCGCGACUCUAAGAGAUUAGAGUUUUCGGUUCGGCCGGACGAAACACAGGUGCUGCAUGGCUGUCGUCAGCUCGUGUCGUGAGAUGUUGGGUUAAGUCCCGCAACGAGCGCAACCCUCACUUUUAGUUGCCAUCAUUAAGUUGGGCACUCUGAAAGAACUGCCAGUGAUAAGCUGGAGGAAGGUGGGGAUGACGUCAAGUCCUCAUGGCCCUUACGUGUUGGGCUACACACGUGCUACAAUGGCAUCUACAACAGGAAGCAAAACGGCAACGUUAAGCAAAUCCCGAAAAGAUGCCUCAGUUCGGAUUGCACUCUGCAACUCGAGUGCAUGAAGCUGGAAUUACUAGUAAUCGUGGAUCAGCGUGCCACGGUGAAUGCGUUCCCGGGUCUUGUACACACCGCCCGUCACACCAUGGGAGUUGGUUCUACCNUAAGGCAAGGUUUNAANC